UACGUAGGGGGCAAGCGUUGUCCGGAUUUAUUGGGCGUAAAGAGCGUGUAGGCGGUUUGGUAGGUCCGUUGUGAAAACUCGAGGCUCAACCUCGAGACGCCGAUGGAAACCAUCAGACUAGAGUCCGGAAGAGGAGAGUGGAAUUCCUGGUGUAGCGGUGAAAUGCGCAGAUAUCAGGAAGAACACCCGUGGCUAAGGCGGCUCUCUAGUACGGUACUGACGCUGAGACGCGAAAAGCGUGGGGGAGCGAACAGG
rnacentral:rRNA from 1 species